CACUCCUGCGGGAGGCAGCAGUGGGGAAUUUUGGACAAUGGGCGAAAGCCUGAUCCAGCAAUGCCGCGUGAGUGAAGAAGGCCUUCGGGUUGUAAAGCUCUUUUGUCAGGGAAGAAACGGUGAAAGCUAAUAUCUUUUGCUAAUGACGGUACCUGAAGAAUAAGCACCGGCUAACUACGUGCCAGCAGCCGCGGUAAUACGUAGGGUGCAAGCGUUAAUCGGAAUUACUGGGCGUAAAGCGUGCGCAGGCGGUUUUGUAAGUCUGAUGUGGAAUCCCCGGGCUCAACCUGGGAAUUGCAUUGGAGACUGCAAGGCUAGAAUCUGGCAGAGGGGGGUAGAAUUCCACGUGUAGCAGUGAAAUGCGUAGAUAUGUGGAGGAACACCGAUGGCGAAGGCAGCCCCCUGGGUCAAGAUUGACGCUCAUGCACGAAAGCGUGGGGAGCAAACAGGAUUAGAAACCCGUGUAGUCCCAUGA
rnacentral:rRNA from 1 species